GGGCCUGUAGCUCAGAUAGGUAGGAUGUCCCAGUCCGCAUUAAAAUCAGGAACAUGUGCAUCCCUAGAAAGAGCAUCUGGCUUUUAACCAGGUGGUCAGGGGUUCGAAUCCCCUCAGGCCCG
rnacentral:tRNA from 1 species